AUAAAAAUUGCGUUUUGUUCAGUUUGGAAGUGUAUCAUAGGAAAAAUAGAAUGGUCGCUAAUUAUAUUUAUCCCUGUAUAGGCUCAAGUAGGCCUGGACGUUCGGUUCGGAUUUGGAUCGGAUCGGGUUUGGAUUAGUUUUUUUUGGUUUUUUUUGGGUUUGGUUAUUUUGGAUUUGGAAAUCUAAGAUUCGGUAUUUUAAGAUUUUGGGUUUGGUUCGGGUUCGAAUUUAGGUUUACCCGGAAUAUCCAAAACUCAAAAUUUUGUAUAAAAAUAUAUUCAAAUUACUUGAAAAUACACAAUUUUUUUGAAAAACUUGAGUAUUUAUAUCCUAAUAUAGCUAAAAGUAGGUAAAGUAUUCAAAA
rnacentral:sRNA from 1 species